rnacentral:rRNA from 1 species
AUCUAGUAGCCAGCAUGUCUAGUAUAAACGUCAAUACAAGUGAAACUGCGAAUGGCUCAUUAUAUCAGAAACAAUCUACAUGAUCGUUUUUUACUCGGAUAACUGAGCAAAAGGUUGAGCUAAUAGUGAACAAAGCUCUGACUUCUGGAAGGAGCGUAUAUAUUAGAUUAAAAACCAACCGGGCAACCGUUAUUUGGUGAUUCAUAAUAUCUGCUCGAAUCGCAGGACCUUGAGUCGGCGAUGGUUCAUUCGAAUUUCUGCCCUAUCAACUUUCGAUGGUAGGAUAGGGGCCUACCAUGGUUUUAACGGGUAACGGAGAAUUAGGGUUCGAUUCCGGAGAGGGAGCUUCGAGAGAUGGCUACCACAGCUAAGGCAGGCAGCAGGCGCGCAAAUUACCCAAUCCUGACACGGGGAGGUAGUGACAAUAAAUAACAAGACAGAGCUCUUACGAGUUUUGUCAUUGGAAUGAGAACAAUUUAAAUCCCUUAACGAGGAACAAUUGGAGGGCAAGUCUGGUGCCAGCAGCCGCGGUAAUUCCAGCUCCAAUAGCGUACAUUAAUGUUGCUGCGGUUAAAAAGCUCGUAGUCGAAUUUUGGGUUUGGCUGGGCGGUCGAACGCAAGUUCUGCACUGCUCUGGUUGAGCUCCAUUUACUGGGGAAGUCUUGUGCUCUUUAGUGAGUGCAAGGGGGAACCAGGACUUUUACUUUGAAGAAAUUAGAGUGUUCAAAGCAGGCAUAAGCUCGAAUACAUUAGCAUGGAAUAAUAGAAUAGGACUUUGGUCUUAUUUUGUUGGUUUCUGGGACUGAAGUAAUGAUUAAUAGGGAUAGUUGGGGGCAUUAGUAUUUAAUUGUCAGAGGUGAAAUUCUUGGAUUUAGGAAAGACUAACUUCUGCGAAAGCAUUUGCCAAGGAUGUUUUCAUUGAUCAAGAACGAAAGUUAGGGGAUCGAAGACGAUUAGAUACCGUCGUAGUCUUAACCAUAAACUAUGCCAACUAGGGAUCGGACGAGUAUAUUUCUAUGUCUCGUUCGGCACCUUAUGAGAAAUCAAAGUU